ACGAACGUUGAUGGCGUGCCUCAUACAUGCAAGUCGAGCGCCCCGCAAGGGGAGCGGCGAACGGGUGAGUAACACGUAAGGAAUCUGCCCUAAGGUGGGGAAUAACUAUCCCAACGGAUAGCUAAUACCGCAUAAGGAUGGAGGUGGCAUCACCUCUUCUCGAAAGAUUUAUCGCCUUAGGAUGACCUUGCGUCCCAUUAGCUUGUUGGCGGUGUAACGGACCACCAAGGCGACGAUGGGUAUCCGGCCUGAGAGGGUGUACGGACACAUUGGGACUGAGAUACGGCCCAGACUCCUACGGGAGGCAGCAGUAGGGAAUUUUGCGCAAUGGAGGAAACUCUGACGCAGCAACGCCAUGUGUGGGAUGAAGCAUUUCGGUGUGUAAACCACUGUCAGCGGGGAAUAAAUGGUCUCUUCGGAGGCAGUUGAAUGUACCCGCAAAGGAAGCCCCGGCUAACUUCGU
rnacentral:rRNA from 1 species